GCAUCGAUGAAGAACGCAGCGAAAUGCGAUACUUGGUGUGAAUUGCAGAAUCCCGUGAACCAUCGAGUCUUUGAACGCAAGUUGCGCCCGAGGCCUCCUGGCCGAGGGCACGCCUGCCUGGGCGUCACGC
rnacentral:rRNA from 1 species